rnacentral:miRNA from 1 species
ACGCGUAUUCUUGGGGAAUUAAC